rnacentral:rRNA from 1 species
AUAGCGUAUAUUAAAGUUGUUGCAGUUAAAAAGCUCGUAGUUGGAUUUCUGUUAAUAAUUUAUAUAAAAUAUUUUGACGAAUAUUUAUAUAAUAUUAACAUAAUUCAUAUUACUAUUUUUUUUUUUAGUAUAUGAAAUUUUACUUUGAGAAAAUUAGAGUGCUUAAAGCAGGCAUAUGCCUUGAAUACUCCAGCAUGGAAUAAUAUUAAAGAUUUUUAUCUUUUUUAUUGGUUCUAAGAUAAGAAUAAUGAUUAAUAGGGACAGUUGGGGGCAUUUGUAUUUAACAGUCAGAGGUGAAAUUCUUAGAUUUGUUAAAGACAAACUAAUGCGA